CAGGGAUUGCCCAGUAACGGCGAGUGAAGCGGCAAGAGCUCAAAUUUGAAAGCUGGCUCCUUCGGGGUCCGCAUUGUAAUUUGCAGAGGAUGCUUCGGGAGCGGUCCCCAUCUAAGUGCCCUGGAACGGGACGUCAUAGAGGGUGAGAAUCCCGUAUGGGAUGGGGUGUCCGCGCCCGUGUGAAGCUCCUUCGACGAGUCGAGUUGUUUGGGAAUGCAGCUCUAAAUGGGUGGUAAAUUUCAUCUAAAGCUAAAUAUUGGCCGGAGACCGAUAGCGCACAAGUAGAGUGAUCGAAAGAUGAAAAGCACUUUGAAAAGAGAGUUAAAAAGCACGUGAAAUUGUUGAAAGGGAAGCGCUUGCGACCAGACUCGCUCGCGGGGUUCAGCCGGCAUUCGUGCCGGUGUACUUCCCCGCGAGCGGGCCAGCGUCGGUUUGGGCGGUCGGUCAAAGGCCUCUGGAAGGUAACGCCCCCUCGGGGGCGUCUUAUAGCCAGGGGUGCAAUGCGGCCUGCCCGGACCGAGGAACGCGCUUCGGCUCGGACGCUGGCAUAAUGGUCGUAAGCGACCCGUCUUGAAACACGGACCAAGGAGUCUAACAUCUACGCGAGUGUUCGGGUGUCAAACCCGUGCGCGAAGUGAAAGCGAACGGAGGUGGGAACCCGCAAGGGUGCACCAUCGACCGAUCCUGAAGUCUUCGGAUGGAUUUGAGUAAGAGCGUAGCUGUUGGGACCCGAAAGAUGGUGAACUAUGCCUGAAUAGGGCGAAAGCCAGAGGAAACUCUGGUGGAGGCUCGUAGCGGUUCUGACGUGCAAAAUCGAUCGUC
rnacentral:rRNA from 1 species